rnacentral:rRNA from 1 species
UAGGGAAUCUUCGGCAAUGGGGGGAACCCUGACCGAGCAACGCCGCGUGAGUGAAGAAGGUUUUCGGAUCGUAAAGCUCUGUUGUUAAGGAAGAACGAGUGUGAGAAUGGAAAGUUCAUGCUGUGACGGUACUUAACCAGAAAGGGACGGCUAACUACGUGCCAGCAGCCGCGGUAAUACGUAGGUCCCGAGCGUUGUCCGGAUUUAUUGGGCGUAAAGCGAGCGCAGGCGGUUAGAAAAGUCUGAAGUGAAAGGCAGUGGCUCAACCAUUGUAGGCUUUGGAAACUGUUUAACUUGAGUGCAGAAGGGGAGAGUGGAAUUCCAUGCGUAGCGGUGAAAUGCGUAGAUAUAUGGAGGAACACCGGUGGCGAAAGCGGCUCUCUGGUCUGUAACUGACGCUGAGGCUCGAAAGCGUGGGGAGCGAACAGG